CGUAGGGUGCAAGCGUUGUCCGGAAUUAUUGGGCGUAAAGAGCUCGUAGGCGGUUUGUCGCGUCUGCUGUGAAAACGCGAGGCUCAACCUCGCGCCUGCAGUGGGUACGGGCAGACUAGAGUGCGGUAGGGGAGAUUGGAAUUCCUGGUGUAGCGGUGGAAUGCGCAGAUAUCAGGAGGAACACCGAUGGCGAAGGCAGAUCUCUGGGCCGUAACUGACGCUGAGGAGCGAAAGCGUGGGGAGCGAACAGG
rnacentral:rRNA from 1 species